rnacentral:rRNA from 1 species
GGCUCAGGAUGAACGCUAGCUACAGGCUUAACACAUGCAAGUCGAGGGGCAGCAUAAACAUUGCUUGCAAGUGUUUGGUGGCGACCGGCGCACGGGUGCGUAACGCGUAUGCAACCUACCUAUAACAGGGGGAUAACACUGAGAAAUUGGUACUAAUACCCGUAACAUCAGAGGAGGCAUCUUCUUUGGUUGAAAGUUCCGGCGGUUAUAGAUGGGCAUGCGUUGUAUUAGCUAGUUGGUGGGGUAAUGGCUCACCAAGGCGACGAUACAUAGGGGGACUGAGAGGUUAACCCCCCACAUUGGUACUGAGACACGGACCAAACUCCUACGGGAGGCAGCAGUGAGGAAUAUUGGUCAAUGGACGCAAGUCUGAACCAGCCAUGCCGCGUGCAGGAAGACGGCUCUAUGAGUUGUAAACUGCUUUUGUAUGAGGGUAAAUUGGGUACGUGUACCUAACUGAAAGUAUCAUACGAAUAAGGAUCGGCUAACUCCGUG